GAUGAACGCUGGCGGCGUGCUUAACACAUGCAAGUCGAACGGUGAAGGCGGAGCUUGCUCUGCUGGAUCAGUGGCGAACGGGUGAGUAACACGUGAGCAAUCUGCCCCUGACUCUGGGAUAAGCGCUGGAAACGGCGACUAAUACUGGAUACGAGCUGCGAAGGCAUCUUCAGCAGCUGGAAAGAAUUUCGGUCAGGGAUGAGCUCGCGGCCUAUCAGCUUGUUGGUGAGGUACUGGCUCACCAACGCGUCGACGGGUAGCCGGCCUGAGAGGGUGACCGGCCACACUGGGACUGAGACACGGCCCAGACUCCUACGGGAGGCAGCAGUGGGGAAUAUUGCACAAUGGGCGAAAGCCUGAUGCAGCAACGCCGCGUGAGGGACGACGGCCUUCGGGUUGUAAACCUCUUUUAGCAGGGAAGAAGCGAAAGUGACGGUACCUGCAGAAAAAGCGCCGGCUAACUACGUG
rnacentral:rRNA from 1 species